rnacentral:rRNA from 1 species
AUUGAACGCUGGCGGCAGGCCUAACACAUGCAAGUCGAGCGGAGCGGCGGACGGGUGAGUAAUGCCUAGGAAUCUGCCUGGUAGUGGGGGAUAACGUCCGGAAACGGGCGCUAAUACCGCAUACUAUCAGAUGAGCCUAGGUCGGAGUAGCUAGUGGGGGGGGUAAAGGCCUACAAAGGCGACGAUCCGUAACUGGUCGGAGAGGAUGAUCAGUAAAACGGGAACGGGGACCCGGUCCAGCCUCCUACGGGAGGAAGCAGUGGGGAAUAUUGGACAAUGGGCAAAAUCCUGAUGCAGACAUGCCGGGUGUGUGAAGAAGGUCUUCGGAUUGUAAAGCACUUUAAGUUGGGAGGCGUUACCAACAGAAUAAGCACCGGCUAACUUCGUGCCAGCAGCCGCGGUAAUAC